GUGCUGUCUUCAGCAGCACAUGUACUAAAAUUGGAACGAUACAGAGAAGAUUAGCAUCGCCCCUGCGCAAGGAUGACACACAAAUUCGUGAAGCGGUCCAUAAAAAA
rnacentral:snRNA from 1 species